rnacentral:lncRNA from 1 species
AGUGGUGAACCGAAUAAACAUUAGCUACUAAUAUGACAUGAGAACACCAUUUCUUUUGAUAAUUUAUUUGGGACAAAUUACUUGCUCGUCCUAUUUUCGUAUUUUCAUAGCUAUAUGAUGCCCUUCCAAUGUACAAAUUCAAAAUCUGCACAGCAUAAAAUACAAUGGUACCAUUCAAGGCUUGAAAUAUUUUUGGAAAAGGCCAUGAAUCUGAAUUUGAAGUAUCAAAACUUGCUGCAGACUCCAUAAUUUUACCUUUUGCAGAUGCAAAACUAUUCUUUUCAUAGAAGAGAACACAAGGAUAUUGAAGAGUGACAGACGCAAAAAAACAUACAAACCAGAUUGUAACAUUUUAACUGACAAGUACUUGUAAUAAAUAAGUAGCGUAAAAAGUUUAAUAGAAUAAUUUAACAUAUAAAUAAAAUGAACAAAACAAAUUCCCAAGAAUUAGAAGAAAAAUUUACUUGCCACAUCGACAAAUGCAUCAGGUUUCAGUUUAUGCACGCGAUGGAAUCGAUACGCAAAGACAACCCCAAGUAACAGGAGAGAAAAUGCACAUAUGCUUGCUACACUAAUGGUAACUUCAAAUUUUGCGUUUUUAGUAGAAACUGCAUUGAUAUCUGGAGUCAACCAGUCAGUUGCUGUUAUUUUCACAAGAAGAAUAAUAUUUAAAUAAAACUGAGAAUUCCACUGCAAAAUAAAUAAAACCUUGGGUGGAGGGAUUUGGAACACAAGGUUGCUUAUUGUCCUUAAAGGAUCGAAUUAUUUUUAAAACAAUGCAUAGAGCAUAAGUCAAUAUCUCAAGAAUGAAAAUCUAAGAAGCACAAUGUGUUAACUAUUGAACUAAAAAUAAAGGUUCUUUUUUUCCCAGAAAGGUAUGCAAGGUAUUUAACAUCAAGCAAAUUCAUACCACGUGACUUUAGAAUUUCGAAGCAUUCUUUAGCGGAAUUCCCUCCCAUGCUGACAUCAUGAUGAUUGUCUUUAGACCUGCAUGUUUAACUGGAUAACAGAUUUCCCUCUCUACUGAGAAAGAGUAAACAUCCCCAUGACGACCAACGAAAAAGAUUGUAGAGAAAAUUAAUUCGAUUUCAGAGCACAAUAAAAGCAUUAGAAGAAAUGAAACAUUGCGCAGUAUAUUUCAGACAAACAAAUUGAUAUUUUAAAAAUAAAAUUAAAAGAAAUAUACCUUUGCCGUCUCCAACAGUCCAGUGGAAAAGUUCGCAAAGUAUAAUUAACCAACAGAAAUGAUGAACUGCAAAUACAAAUAUAGUCUAUGCCAAUAUCAGAAGUCAACUAUCUAUGUCUACAAUUUCAAUAUUGUAUUUACAGUUAACUGAAAAUUCAAAAACUGUAGUCUUAAUCAAAGGUCCAAAACUUGUUCUAGAAACUACCCUCUUUUUGUGACUUGUACAUACUGGCAAUUCACAAGAGAGCAAUUCAACAUCCAUGGUCCACUAUCCAAGGUAAAAAAGAAAAAUUUACCAAAUUCUUCUAGAUGAAGAAUAUGAAACGAGCAAAAGUAAGUUGAAUAUAAUUACCUUAGCUAUCCCAAUACCGAAUGUGAGAAAACUGGAUAAAACAUGGAAAAAAGCUAGAAAAAAUAUCAACAAUUGGAGUUGUUUGAAGCCCACUUUCGAAAUCGAAGAUAACUUAUCCUGUUCCACAAUUUCAAAAAUCAAUAAGAUGCUACUAAAAUUUGGAAUUGAUAAGUUAAUUAAUUAAUUCAUCAACCCUAAUUUACGUUCCAAGAACUCUUCCAUGCUACAUAAGUACCUGUUCUUCACAUUCGGAUUCCUCUUCUUCCUCACUCGUCAAGCUAUGGCAAGGAAGAAAAGAAUGAGCAACACCAUUGGGAAUACAUAUAUUUGCAAUUGGAUUUUCACAUACGGUCAGCAAUAAGGAGAUGAAGCCCAAAAGCUAUAAGUCUACAUGAUUGGGAAAUUCAAGGAUAAUAAGCAAUGUGAAUUUUUUAGCAUUACCAAGAAAAUUAACCAAUUAUAAAUUCAAUGGCAGGAAAAUGCAGGAUUCCUCAUAGGACUACUCAAAUCAUGUCUGUGCUCUAAUGUAAACUAAAUGAAAAGGAAGUUAAAAAAAAAAGAACUCAGAAAAUCAAAGCAAUCACUCGAAACGAACCCAAAAAAUAAAAAAAAGUUAAAUCCUACCAAAUCGAUUAAUGCAAAAAAUACACACACGAGAAACUCUAGAAAAUCGAAGCAAACACCCAAAACGAAACUUAACAAUUGUAUAAGCCCUACGAAAUCAGAAAUCCACCCAAAUUUAUCCCCUUGUUUCAACUGAACUAAUCUAAAAUCCCCAUUUGGAAGCUCAAUACUCAAAAGAAAAGAAAAAAAGAGAGAGAAGAUAUGGACUGGAUUCAGGAGAUUAUACCUUUCUUCUUCUUAUCAGUGUUUGGUUUCUUGUUGUGGAGAGACGAACUCGUCAAAAAGCGGACGUGUGAAAUGAGGGGGCAAAGAGAGAGCCACUUUUAUAUGAGAGAUAUUUUGUGAACAGUAACUAUUGCUAAACCAGUUCGAAAAAGUCAAGUGUGAAAAUGUGAAAUUUCCCCGUCCACAGAACAUUUG